rnacentral:lncRNA from 12 species
GUGAUUUCAAAGGGGUUCUUCCAACAGAAAGAAAUAGCUAUCACGGAAAUAACAAAUAAGCAUCCCGUACAUUUAUCAUGCUCAGUAAAGAAGACAGCAGGCACCACUCCCAGGCCAUAUCAAUCAUACACUAAACUAAAUGUAGUCCCUGCAUCCCUGCUGUUUUUUUUUUUGGGGGGGGGGAGGGGGCACUGCGGGGGGCAGGAGGCGCGGUCCCCCGCCCUCCCAGGAGCCCCGGGCCUCACCUUCCCCGCCUGCGGGGUUCCCAGACUUCCCAGACUUGCCUGUCCUGGGUCGGUUAAUCAGGGAUCCUGCGAUUUUGGUAAGCUCCGUAAUUAUCUUCGUUUGACAGAGCAGGAAAUGUUAUUCAUAGUCAGAAAAUUAUCUGAAAUUUUUUUCCCCUGGGGAAAGGGGGCCGUGCUGGAGAAAGAACCCAGCCAGCCAGCUUUCUCCAAAGGCAGCCUGGGGGUGGUGGGGGGGUCCUGGUGGGGGUCAUGGGCGGGUGGGUGGGGCAUUCAGGGCUCUGUGGAGGUGCCCUCCUGGGGAGGAGUGGGCCAGGGCGCUCUUCUGUGUGUGUGCACGUGUAUGUGUGCAUGCACGCGCAUGCUCUCUGUCUCUGGAUUACUGCUCUGCUUGCUCAUCUGUUUGUCCUGGGAAGUUGGAAGAUACCAAACAAAGCUGUAGUUCUCUGCAUUUCUGCCGCCUUUCUCUCCCACUCCCCAAGGAGUCCUGGCAGGCUCACUGCUGUCGCCUUUGGAGAGGCGGGGCCAGGGCUCUAGGAGGUGGGGGCGCCGAGACUCACUCCCCUCCUGCCGCCUCAGGCCGGGGCUGGGGGGCUACCAGGCUGGCUUCCGCAGUGGUGCCUUCCCAACCACCCCCACCCGCUCUGGUCCAUCUGUCUGCCUCUGAGAUGUCUCCUGGGCAUCAGGAGCAGGCACGAUUUGCUUUGAGAAGUGUGAAGCAUGCUCUCUCUGCCCCAUCCGUGCAUUUCCCCUCCUUUUCAUGGCUUUCUGUGGGGAAUGAUUGAAGGCCUUUCUCUUCCUAAGUUCCCAGAAACUCCUGCUAAAAUGCGAACACCUCCUUGAGGGGUGACACUCCCCCUCAGUGGGGAUUACGCACUGCUGAAAGCAAGGAAGUAUUUUUGUGGAAAGGAAGUGGGGCCAGAAUCAGGGGAGGGGCAGCAUGGGGAUCCAAUGGGACUUGCUUCACCUUGUUAUAUUUUUCAGAGUCCAACCUGCUUGAUGCAUCUUUACUCUACCCAGAGUGGGAAGCAAGGCUUUUUUUUUUUUUUUAAGAUUUUAUUUAUUUAUUCUUGAGAGAGAGAUAGAGAGGCAGAGACGUAGGCAGAGGGAGAAGCAGGUUCCCAGGACCCUGGGAUCAUGACCUGAGCCAAAGACAGUUGCUCAACCACUGAGCAACCCAGCUAUUCUGGGGAGCAAAGCUUUUUAAAGAGAUCCAGGAAGGCUGGGUGAGGGAGGGGCCACAGGGACCUGUCCCCCCCACCCCUCAGCACACACAGUCCUCCUAUCUGCCUUGCUCUCUGGAGAAGGGAAGGGACUGCCACUUGGCCCUUCUGGCUACUUACCACACAAGUGCUGGUGUUUGUUGGGGGCUGAGUCCUUUUCUGGCAGCAGCAGGGAGUCUGAGGUGUCAAGCGGGGCAUCUUCCUUUCUGGGGGCCCAGGAAGGGGUUCUCUUGACAUCCUUCCUGAGACAGAGAAGAACCAAGUCCACUGUUUGGAGCCUGGCAUUGUGAGGAGCUCCACUGACCUUGUGAGUGAACGAGAUUAUCUCAGGUGAAAAAUCUCAGACAUUAAGAGGCAUGAUAAUGAUACUGGUCAUGAUGAUAUAAUAAUAGUGGUAAUUAUCCUAAUAAUCCCUUAGGAUGUAUGCAUGUCUUUCCAAGUACUCAGAGCACUUUCCCAUUCGUGAUCACACAUAACCUUAACCUACUUCUGGUAGAAAGACGGGGUGGGGCAGGCCGUCAUGGCUACACAGGGAAACUGAGGUACUCUGCUCAUGCCUUCCCUGUCCCCGCGAGUGAAACCCACAGGCACAGACGCACACACACACACACACACACACACAUCCGCGGCUUCCAACCCCCAAAUGUGCCAUUACUGAAAAGCACUGCGGCUUAGGGAGUUGAGAGACUGGAUCGCCAGCUUCCACCCCUGCUCGCUCCUCCUGUGCUGUGCACGGGCUUGCUCAUCAAACAGAGCAGGGAGGAGGCCGAUUUGAGGAGCGCUUCACAGGGGAAGACUCUUUAGAAGAAAUCACUCUGUGUCACAGCACAGGGUGACUUACUUUCAUGUGGCAAAUGCAUUGUGGCAGCUCCCUGCUCCACAUGCCAUAGAUCAUGAAAGAAGGGGUGGGCCCGGUGAGUUUCCCAGCCUCCCCUCCGAGGACAGCUCCCCCAGUCCCAGGGAGGCGGCCCGGGGUCACUUUCAAAGGGAGAGUGUGGGGUCUUCAGAGGCUAAGCAGCAGAGAGCAGAGAGCGAGCAGUGGGUGCUCGCUGCUAGCUGGAGUCCUGUGAUUCCAUUUACUAAAUGUGUCUCUGCUUAGUAAUUUCAGGGCAGCCAGCAGGGAGAGGGAAUGUGGGGUGCGGGGGGCGGGGUGGCGGGAAGGGCUUGGAAGGCAAGGAAGAAAAAGACGAAGAAAAAAACCCACCAGCCCGUCUGGCAUCAGUUCAGAAAGCUCUCCAACUCACACAUCUGGUUCUUAUAUUUCAAAGUUAAUUAGUCAUAUUGAGGCUGUCUGAAGAUAAAUUUAUCAUCCAGAAAAAACACAAACAGUUUGAAAAAUGAAAGGAAGUGAGGUGACAUGGCUUGACGUUUAAAUAAAUCAUUUUAACAUGAUUAAAAAACUUGUCCU